rnacentral:lncRNA from 1 species
UGUAACUUACGCUGCACGUCAUAAAUCAUUGUUAAAGCCACGCAUAUUGGAAUACAGAACAAAAUGAAAUGCAGAUAUGUUCAGGAUACAAUAUAUACAAACAUGACUUUCAA